GACGAACGCUGGCGGCGCGCCUAACACAUGCAAGUCGAACGGAGUUUGAGAGAGCUUGCUUUUUCAAACUUAGUGGCGAACGGGUGAGUAACGCGUGAGUAACCUGCCCUGUACUGGGGAAUAAUCAUUGGAAACGAUGACUAAUACCGCAUGUGGUUCUCGGAAGGCAUCUUCUGAGGAAGAAAGGAUUUAUUCGGUACAGGAUGGGCCCGCAUCUGAUUAGCUAGUUGGUGAGAUAACGGCCCACCAAGGCGACGAUCAGUAGCCGGACUGAGAGGUUGAACGGCCACAUUGGGACUGAGAUACGGCCCAG
rnacentral:rRNA from 1 species